UGUGUUUUUUUUUUUGUUCUUCCUUAGCAUAAAGAAAUCACCAGGAAAGUUGAAAGAAGUUAGUUUGCUGCAAAAGAAAAAUGAAGAAUGUGAAAAAGGAAGCAACUCCAAGAAAGCUCAAGUGCAGAAAGUACAAUCUGUUGGCCAGAAUAAAAGCUACUUAGCUCUAAG